AAUUAACCACAGAUUAUUUGACUCUCAGCUAAAGCAAUUACAAAUAUUAAAAUUACAUUUCAACCACUGAGAUAGUCUUUAAUUUUCACUGUACUGUCUACUUUCCACAGCAACGCACCUUUUGGGGCAGAACAUCUUCCUUCGCUAUGUUCUGUGGAGCCACUAGGUGUCCCUCGUUCCUACAUAAAGCUCCAGCUGCUCUUAGAUUGACUCCACUGGAGUGAGUGAUGGUUGAAAAGAUGGUUAUAUACAACCAUUGCUGGCCCUUCGAUUGCUGCAUCCAGUCUGGAGCUGUUCAGGAACAAUACUAAGGGGAAAGAAGUAGCCUCCGCCUCAAAGCAGGGAAAUAUGUCAGCAUGGAAAAUAGAUGCACGUGUGGGUGGGGGAGUUUCAUUCCUGUUUUCUGAAGCCUUAUGUAGCUGUAAACGAGAAACAGGCGAAAA
rnacentral:lncRNA from 1 species